CGACUUUAAUCAACGUGAGGAGGGGCGGAGCUUGCAGUCAGAGCGAAUCCACCGCGGCAGGAGCACAAAAACACGCUGGAUGUGAGAAAAACUAAUUUUCACCUUAAUCAUAAAACUACACUUUAUUUCACAGAACUUUGUGGCUCUCGAGACCCUUUUAACCACAGUUUGAAACCACAGUCCUUCAUAGAGACGCACCCGGGCCCUGCAGGGCGACAACAGCGACCUCCACAGGCUCACCUUCAUCGCGUGUUUGACCUUCCCAGUUGACCAGUUGAGAGCGUUGUCACUAAAUCCCAGUUCAGAGAUGGCGAUGUUCAAAUUUGGAAACACCAUGGAUCCGUGCGGGAUUGUUUCCAAUGAGAGGGCACAGCUGCCGGAAGAAAUUGAUGAGAAAGGAAACCUUGACCCCGACCGAAUUGUGCAGUGCCCUUUUGACAAGAACCACCAGAUCCGGGUUUGCCGCUUCCCUUACCACCUGAUAAAGUGCAGGAAGAAUCAUCCAAAGCUGGCCAACGAGCUGAAAACCUGCCCUUUCAACGCUUGCCACCUCAUGCCCAAGAACGAGCUGACUCACCACAUUGAUACCUGUGAGAACAGAAUGUCUCUGGACCCUGGUGGCGGCGAUGAAGUCACCAAUGGACAUGUUGAAUGGCAGGUCCCGCCCAGCACCUGGGUAAACCCAAACCAAACCGAGGACUGGGAUGACGAGAUCGAUGAUCAUGCUCCCACAUUUAAAUGGGGUCAAAACAAUGGCUUGAAUCGAAAGUAAGUGUCCUGCUCCGCCAUCCUGCCUCAGAGCUCGUUAUCUCUGACAAGGAGCAGAAUGAUGAGGCCCGCCAUCGAGGAUCCAGGUCUUCCCACGGCCGCCGUUUAACCUAUAGAUUAGUUACACGUACUGUUCAGGCGCUUAGUUAAGGUUCUAUGUUUUAAAUUUGGUUUUAACGAGUUCAGUGUUUUUAAUUUCUACAAUUGUAUUGUUUUUUAUAUUAAAGUUGUUACAUUUGAAA